rnacentral:lncRNA from 1 species
AGCUAGGCUCACAACCUGGCCAGUCACAGUAACCAGGAGGCGUUGGAGAUCUCCAGCUGCAUUCUUCUCAAGCACGAUGGAAAAGUCCUCGUCCCCAGGCUUUGGGUGGCAGACUUGGGCCAAGACAUAGGAGCAGGAGCCAUGCAGGUCGUAGACACGGCCAUCAAGGGUGAUGUAGUGGAUGCCCCCGUUGGCCAGGCAGCGGCCACAGCCUGUGGCAUGACAGGCCUGGACACCAUCCUCUAACCGGCACUCCUCAUGGGGCCCACAGGCUGCGCCCUCCUGGCAGGUGACAUGGCCACCUGGCCCACACUCACAACGCCGCUCACACUCAGGGCCCGGGUAGAAGACUUCGCCCAGUGGGUAGUAGCGGCCAUCAUGGAGGCAGCCACACUGGCCCACGGGUACGCAGGUGUCACCACUGAGCACGAAGCCAGCAUCACAGACACAGCCUUCACGGCAGGCCGACUCACAGCCCUCGGGUGCCGAGAGGCUCGGGCAGCUCCCAGG